GCCAAGUGUGGUGGCUCACACCUGUAAUCCCAGCACUUUGGGAGGCUGAGGUGGGAGGAUCACUUGAGCCCAGGAGUUCGAGAUCAGCCUGAGCAACAUAGUGAGAUCCCAUCUCUA
rnacentral:SRP_RNA from 1 species